rnacentral:rRNA from 1 species
UACGGGGGGGGCAAGCGUUGUUCGGAAUUACUGGGCGUAAAGGGCUCGUAGGCGGCCACCUAAGUGGGAUGUGAAAUCCCCAGGCUUAACCUGGGAACUGCAUCCGAUACUGGAUGGCUUGAAUCCGGGAGAGGGAUGCGGAAUUCCAGGUGUAGCGGUGAAAUUCGUAGAUAUUCGGAAGAACACCAGUGGCGAAGGCGACUUACUGGACACAUAUUGACGCUGAGGUGCGAAAGCGUGGGGAGCAAACAGG